GAUUUGCCUUAGUUGUGGGGUUUUUAUUACAUUUUCUUCUGGACAAUUGAUGAGAAUUUAGAUGUUAAAAUUUCCAGGUGUGGGAGCUACCCAGAGUGUUGUCAGAGACUUCACAUUGUUUUGAUGUUUCAAUCAGCUGUGUGCAGACAGAGCUGUGGCUUUCUGUGGUCACUGAUGCACAACGGGGACUGGUCCAGCGCCAAGCUCUCACUUUCCAGAGCUUGGUGUAUCUCAGCCAGGAUUUGACUGUCAAACUGCCAGUGUCAGAAACUGCACUGUAUCCUGCUAAAAUGAUUCCUGCUACCCAACAGGAAAGUCUGAACACACAGGUGCCUGCAUAGGUCACUUCCCUGCUUUCCCAGGCCAAGAGCUGCAUUGUCAACAAAGCAAGCUGUGAAGUGCUCCUGCCGCUUCUGCGUUUCCUGUCCCUACUCUGGGGCUCUGCUCUAAAUGAAAGGGCCUUGCUAUUGCCCUGAUAACUAAUCUAUAGCACAGCUAACAUCCUUGAGUAAAGAGAUAAGGGCUUGCCAAAGUCCAGCUGUUCUGGGUGUCUGGAACUAAAGAACAAAUCUCUUUUGAUAGUCCUUCACACUGGCAUGAUUUUUUGUGUCCUGCAUGGGUUAGCCAAGUGUAGUGUCCUAUUCAGCAACAGCACUUUGUAGUCACUGAAAAUAAUGUUAUGUUCUGACCCUUACCUGGGAAUCAUGUAGGUGUCCUGUUCUCAUGAGAAUUUUUGGAUGUGGUAGUAAUUCCCAAAUGUAAUGUUUGGACAACCUUUGCAUUACAUUUGCCUAUCUGUGAGCUCUCCUUCUGUAAAGACAGGAUGGGUGAAAGUUUGUUAUGAUACUAAAUUUUAAUAUUUUGCAUUUUAAAGGAAUAUUUCUGUUUUGAAAUUUGUAAGUAUUUAAAUUAAGUACUCCUGUGAUUUAUUUCAGAAGGAAGACAUUAUGAUUAUGGCUUGUUUGUUCUAGUAGUCCUUAAGUAUGUGACAUUCAUUCUGGUAGAAUAAAAUGUAAUUGUUCCAUGCA
rnacentral:lncRNA from 1 species